UGAAUUACUCGCAAUCGUUCUCACUCCUCCUCACGCUGUAAACCCUAUCUCGCUCCUCCUCAGACCUCAAUCAUCUCUUGCUCUGCCUUCAGAUUCAAAUUCUCAAUUUCAUUCUCCACUGCGAUCUGAAUUAUUUGCUGCCUCUGCUUGCCGCGUUAGCUAUCAUCAUUGUCACCGUCGAUGUGCAGGUAGGCCAUCCGUUGCUCCUGGCUUUGUAGUCAUCGCAGAACCACCUUCGAUAUCGGUCACCGCCCUCAUGCAUUGUCUUUGUCACCACAAACGCGAACGUCGCUGCUGAUGACCCCACGAGAAAAGCGGGUUUGCUGGACUCGUUGAAAUAUGUUCUGAUUUCUCUAUUAUUGUUGCAAUCUGCUACUUUCUUCUUAAUUGUUUCUGAGAUUUCACAAAUAGUCUAUUGGAGUUGAAGCUAAAGCAAUGCAUAUGUUCAGUUUACCUUCUUUGAAGUUUAAUUU